rnacentral:rRNA from 1 species
UACGUAGGGGGCAAGCGUUGUCCGGAUUUAUUGGGCGUAAAGAGCGUGUAGGCGGCCAUACAGGUCAGCUGUGAAAACUCGAGGCUCAACCCUCGAGACGUCGGUUGAAACCGUAUGGCUAGAGUCCGGAAGAGGAGAGUGGAAUUCCCGGUGUAGCGGUGAAAUGCGCAGAUAUCGGGAAGAACACCCGUGGCGAAGGCGGCUCUCUGGGACGGUACUGACGCUGAGACGCGAAAAGCGUGGGGAGCGAACAGG